rnacentral:rRNA from 1 species
UACAGAGGUCCCGAGCGUUGUUCGGAAUUACUGGGCGUAAAGGGCUCGUAGGUUGCCAACUAAGUCAGACGUGAAAUCCCUCGGCUUAACCGGGGAACUGCGUCUGAUACUGGAUGGCUUGAGUCCGGGGAGAGGGAUGCGGAAUUCCAGGUGUAGCGGUGAAAUGCGUAGAUAUCUGGAGGAACACCGGUGGCGAAGGCGGCAUCCUGGACCGGCACUGACGCUGAUGAGCGAAAAGCCAGGGGGAGCAAAACGGG